rnacentral:lncRNA from 1 species
CAAUCCAGAGCAAAGAGACUUGGUGCAGGAGGGACAGGGGGGAGGAGAAGCCUGUUCCAGCAGAGGUGAAAACCAGGGACUCCAAGAUGGCAGCCUUGAGCCCGUGGAGAAGAAGACUUCCCAGAGAGGAGAGUCUUCACUCACUGACUGCUACGGACCCUUCUCAGGACAGCUCAUCGCCACCAUGAAGGAAGCCUGUCGCUAUGCCCUGCAGGUGAAACCUCAGCGUCUGAUGGCAGCAAUGUACACUUGUGACAUCAUGGCCACCGGUGAUGUUCUUGGUACGUCCUGGAGAAGACUCUCCAGAGCCUUCGGCUUGUUUUUUCUGAGAAGAUUUUCUGUGCCCUUUCGCUGUUCCAUUGCCGUCUGUUGAGGUAUACUUUACUUGCUCAGCAUCCCUCUUAAAGCAGCCGUAUGUGAACAUAGCACCGCAGAUACCAUCUGACCGGCAUGGAGCACAGACUUGCUCUCGCCUCCCCAAUGUGACAGCACUCUCCUGAUGACAGCGUUUAACAGUUGCAUCCUGUCACUGACUCGUAGGGAGUCAAAAUCAACCUCAACCUCGUUUCUUUUUUAAAAUAAGUUACAUCUUCCCGCUUAUUCCCCAGAAAGCAGAAUCCAAAUUUUGGUAUUGACUAGGUCAUAGAAAGUACAUAGUCCCACAGACAACUGUAUUUAGUUACGAGUCAGCCAGAUUUAUACAAUUCAUUUUUCCCUUAGGUUUUAUAUAGAUACACAAUGCUCAUAGGAAGGUUUUUACUGUUUGUUUGUUUUUAAUGCCAAGACAAAGAAGUCCCAGCACCACAAUCUUAACACAGAUUCUUUUUUCAUUUUUUUUUUCAUGUGUCUUUUUUUUCAUCUGGUGAGAACUGAAACUCCGUAAGCAGUGAACUGAAUGUUUUGAUGAAGUUAAGUUCCUUCAUAUCUAUAGAUUUCCCCUGAUGAUCAGCAUACCAACCAUAUAAAAGAAGUAAGCGUAGGUUGAUAAGCUAUUGUGACGCAGCCCAUGAUGUCCAGAGGCCUAACUCAUGCUUGUAUAAAUAUACACAAAUCUUUAAUAUUUCUUAAAAAUCUGCAGGGUUAGUUAGCAUGUGGCUUCGUAGUCUGCAACUUAUACUGCAGGGGGUUUUUACCCCACUCCCCAGAGGUUCAUUUGUUGGUAGAUGCCUAUCAUCCAUAGUUUCUCAGAAGGCCAAGUUCCUUCAGGAGCAUGAGAUCCAGAGACAGAAUCCAUGUACCUGCUCGUCAGCUUCUCUGCUGUCUUGAACACGAGUGUUGUCUCUACGUGUGUGCCCCCCACUAAAGAGAGAGCAGGACACACAGAUAUGAGGAAGCCCUGCGUCCCGGCUCUUCUCUGUUGACACUGCACAUGU